UACGUAGGGGGCGAGCGUUGUCCGGAUUUAUUGGGCGUAAAGCGCGCGUAGGCGGCCGGGCAGGUCCGUUGUGAAAACUGAAGGCUCAACCUGCAGAGGGCGAUGGAAACCGUUCGGCUAGAGUCCGGAAGAGGAGAGUGGAAUUCCUGGUGUAGUGGUGAAAUGCGCAGAUAUCAGGAAGAACACCCGUGGCGAAAGCGGCUCUCUGGGACGGUACUGACGCUGAGACGCGAAAGCGUGGGGAGCGAACAGG
rnacentral:rRNA from 1 species